rnacentral:lncRNA from 1 species
GGGGGGUCAUCUUCCAGGGACCCUGUCCCAGCGAGAGCUGAGUGAGAUGAGGACUCGACUCUACCUCAACCUGGGUCUUACUUUUGAGAGCCUGCAGCAGACAGCCCUGUGCAAUGACUACUUCAAGAAAAGCAUCUUUCUCGCUGAGUGAGGCUCUAUCCCCACCCCAGGAGGGAGCAGGGCCCCAAGGUCUUCCAGAGAGGGCAGUCUGGUCAGGCUAUUGCUCUUCCAUGGGCAGAGAAGCCGGUCAUCUGUGCAGAGAGUUGGGGAGGAGUAGGUUCAGGUCCCAAGCUCACAGCAUGGCAGAGCUGUAAUCCCUGUGGCGUCAGUAACCAUAACUAGCUCAGUAAUCUUUGCACCUCAGGGGUAUCUUAAGUACGUUGCUGUCCUCUGUCCACUGUUAUAGAUCAGGGGAGGGUCCUGGGCACUUUGAGCACUUGUUACCUCGCCCUCUGCAGGCAGAACCACCUCUAUGAGGACCUGUUCCGUGCCCGCUAUAACCUGGGUGCCAUCUACUGUCGGGAAGGGAAGCACUCUCAGGCCAUGCGCUGCUUGGAGGGGGCCCGGGAAUGUGCACGUGCCAUGAAGAAGCGGUUCAUGGAGAGCGAGUGCUGUGUGAUGGUCUCCCAGGUGCUGCCCUCUAGGCUCAGCCCCCUCUGGAUGGGCUUGGUCCCUAGGGAGUCAGCACCUCACUUUCUUUUUCUCCAUAGGUCCUCCAAGAUCUGGGGGAUUUUUUAGCUGCCAAACGUGCCCUGAAGAAGGCCUACAGGCUGGGUUCCCAGAAACCUGUACAGAGGGCAGCUAUCUGCCAGAGCCUCAAGUAUGGUAAGGCUGGACAGGGCCUGAGGGUGAACCCCAAAAGAGUUGGGAGGGCUCUGCUCCUCCAGCAGAGGAGGCCCAAGUAUGUGUCAACUUUAUCUGGGCCUCUCCCAGCAAGAGGAAUAGGUCCCUGUUGACUCAGACAAACCCUCAUUUUCGUCUGAGCCUGUAGCACAACAUGUCAAAGGGCAUUGCAGGGUGGUUGGGGGACUGGCCAAGCCUUUAUUCACAAGGCAGUAUCUUCACUGACAAGCUGACAGGUGACAUGUGUGUGACUCUAUACUGAUCAUAGUGAUGGUCAGUGCUGAUUGACAAUGAUGAGCCCUUGCUGCAAGCCAGGCACUAUUACAGACUGUAAGCUUAUUUGUUCUGAUUUUGAAGGACCCACAUGGUAGAUUCUUCUACCCUCUCUUAUCUGCUGGCCGGUGGUGGGACUGGGGUCAGUGUCGAAUGCUAUGCUGCCCCCUUGCAUGAGACUCUUUCUGGCAGUGCUAGCAGUGAUCAGGCUGCAACAGCAGCUGGAGGAGUCUGAGAGCAGUGACCCUCAGGGUGCCAUGGCCAUCUGUGAGCAGCUGGGGGACCUGUUCUCUAAGGCGGCUGACUUCCCCAAGGCUAUUGAGGCUUAUCAGAACCAGGUGUGUGGCCCCUGUGGGGUGGGAGAAAAGAGCCAGCAAGGUACAGAGUGGACCUGGGGCUUACUGUGCCUCUCUCCAGCUGCACUUUGCUGAGCGACUGAAUAGACCAGACCUCGAGCUGGCCACCAUCCACGUGUCCCUGGCCGCCACACGGGCAGACAUGAAGGACUAUCGCCAGGCAGUAUACCACUAUGAAGAAGAACUCAGGCUGCGCAAUGGCAAUGCUCUGGAGGUGAUGUGCCCUGUUCCCUCCUCAGUGUAGGUUUGUCCUCAGGACUCUGCCUUAGGACCACCAUUCUCUAGUGCGCAUAGAUGGGUGCCUCUCUGGACAGGACUUCCUUCUGAGAAUCGUUGAGCUCCAUUUUUUGGAGAUGGGGUAGAACCCAGGCAGAUAUUCCUGUUGUGUGUAGGCACCUGGGGAAGCCAGCCUAUGGAUGUCGUGGGCAGCAGCCAUCAGCUCAUUCUUCCUCCACUCCAGGAGGCCAAUACCUGGUUCAACAUUGCACUCUCCCGCGAGGAGGCUGGUGAUGCAUAUGAGCUUCUGGCUCCAUGCUUCCAGAAGGCUCUUAACUGUGCCCAGCAGGCCCAGCGGCCCCAGUUGCAGGUACCUGAGCCUGCCCCACCUUUACUGGGUCCCCAGCAAGCCCAACUUGCCUGUCCCUCUUAUCUCAUGCCCCCUUUCUCCCCACCCCACCCCCAGCCUUGAGCAAGAAGAUGUCCUCUUUCUCCUCAGAAGCAGGUGUUGCAGCACCUCCACACUGUGCAGCUGAGGCUACAGCCCCAAGAAGCUCCUGGCACCGAAACCAGACUGCAAGAGCUGAGUGCGGCUGAAGAACUGGUGGAAGAGGAGGAGGAGGAGGCGAUGGAAGAGGCGGCAGCUAGCGUGGCCCUAGAGGCCAGUGAGCUAGAGCUCUCAGAGAGUGGUGAGGGCAGUGUGGCUGCAGCUGGCCUUGUCCCUGACUCUUGCUCUGGAUUAGGUCCUGGAUUGGUACUUUGCCUACACAGAGCCUGCUCAGGACUCACUAGCAGUCAGGCAGGCAGCCCUUGCUUUUGUGGAGGUGGACAAAGGGCUGGAAGCCUACAGGGAGGCUCUACAGGGCCAGAGCCUGGGGAGAUAGUCCAGUAGAGGCCUGUGUUGCACAUCUAGGCAGGGUGAGGUAGGGUGCAUCUCAGGGCCUUGCUGCUUCAUGCCAGAGCGAAGCACAUUCCUGGAACCCUCCAGAGGCUGGUGUGGUCAGCUGUGCAGAGGGUGGGUGUGAAGGACUGACUAGAGCAGAUCGGAAAGACUGACUUGAAAACUUCAGGGGCCUCUAGGACCACAAGUGAGUAACCCAGCAGCCAUGGGAAGUUGGGCCAGGUCUUAGAGGAAGGUCAGGUUGGACAUUGCUGGUGUGUGAGCGGUGUGGGAAGAGGUGACCAAGGACUAAAACAUAAGGGAGAACCAUUCAACAGGUAGGCAACAGAAGAUAGUGUAGAAAGAGCAGUGGCAGCAGGGAAGGAACACAAGAGAAUCUUUGAGUAUCACCAGGACCAGGAGUGGGUGGAAAGUGAGAACAGGCAGGGUACACGGCCUAACAAAGAUAUUUGAGAGGGUGGCAGAAGGUCUGGAUGGAGACUGCCCUGUAGAGCAGAGCCUGGGGGCAGGGGUGAGUGGACAGUUCCACUGAGGGAGGGCUGCAUCCCCUGUUGGCAGAGGAAUAAUGGGGCCUUGGCAGGUGAGGGGUAGCCUAGGAGCAGGGUUUGGCCCCACAGGUCUGAAUUCUGCUCUCCUGCUUAUGGCUGCUGCUGCCUCAGAGGUCAGAGGAGCCUGGGCAGGGCAGGGGUAUGUUUCUACUGCUGGCUUCUCACAGGCUCAGUCAGUUGGCUCAACUCUUCCAGAGGAUGAUGCUGACAGCCUGGCCUGGCAGCUGGAGGAGGAUGAGGAGUUUCAGGGUUGCCUAGGCCGGCGGAAGGUGAACAGGGUAAGGACCAUGUGCCCCAGUCCCUCCUGUCCUGGCAGCCGUACCCAUCCCUCACACCUCUGCCCCAAGUCAAGGCUACUCUGCCCACAGUGGAACCGUCGCAAUGAUAUGGGGGAGACCCUGCUGCACCGAGCCUGCAUUGAGGGCCAUUUGCGCCGUGUCCAGGACCUUGUGAGGCAGGUAAGCUAUCACGCCAACAGACUGCUUGACCCUAGCUCCAUUAGGGAGGAGCUAUGGGCAUAUUUAGAAUGGGCCCUAAGAUGCCAAGCAGAAUCUGGAUUGGCCUGGCCAGGAUGGGGACUGUUUUACAGACCAGAACCCUGGUGCCCUCCCUCCUACCUCAGGCCCUUCAGCUAGGCACUGUGCCUGCCCCAGGGCACCAAGUGACAUAGGCUAGAGGGUGUGCUGUGGCUGCUCAGCCAGCCUUAUUGGGCAGAAGUGGUACCCCCAUUGAGGAGACCUCAGGCAGUGGAGGAGAGGGCCAGAGCCAGGCUGCAAAGCACACAGGGCCAGGCUCCUUCCUGUCCUUGGUCACAGGGCCACCCCCUGAAUCCUCGGGACUACUGUGGCUGGACACCUCUACAUGAAGCCUGCAACUUUGGACACCUGGGUGAGCAGGGGAUGGGCAAGUCCUGGUGCACAACACGGGGUUUAGAGAGCGGGGAGGGGCUGAGCAGACAUUGGGAGCUGGGCUUAUGUCCCUACCUGCAGAGAUCGUCCGCUUCCUGCUGGACCAUGGGGCUGCAGUGGAUGAUCCAGGUGGCCAGGGGUGUGAGGGCAUUACCCCUCUACAUGACGCCCUUACCUGUGGCCACUUUGAGGUGGCUGAGCUGCUUAUUGAGCGAGGGGCAUCUGUCACCCUCCGAACCAGGAAGGUGAGCUGGAGUAGUGGUGGUGGGUGGGAGGGUGGGUGGGAGCUGCUCUGUUCCCUGCUCAUCUGGGUGCUACACAGGGCCAUAGCCCACUGGAGACACUGCAGCAGUGGGUGAAGUUGUACUGCAGGGACCUAGACCUUGAGACGCGACAGAAGGCAGCAGCCAUGGAGAGGAGGCUCCAGGCGGCUUCUUCAGGCUCAGGCAAGUGGGGCCUUCUUCACCUGCGGAAUUGCCCUGGGCUCUGGGCCCUGACUAACACUCCAGCAUAGGGGGCAGAGAGAGAGUCUGGUAACUGUCUCAUGAUGCAUUCUCCCUCCUACAGCCUCCCCAGCCUCCUGGACCAUCCCAAGUAACCACCUGUUUGAUCCUGAGACCUCUCCUCCCUCAAGCCCCUGCCCAGAACCCCCUUGGCACACUCCUAGGUCCUCAGAGGCCUCUCUAGCCUGCACCAGGGUUUCCCCACAGCAGGCUGCAUCAGUUGUGGCAAGGCCUCGAAGGAGCAGGCAUAGGUUGGCCAGCAGCAGCAGCUCAGAGGGGGAGGACAGUGCUGGGCCCCAAAUGCCAUCCCAGAAGAGGCCAAGGUGCUUUGCCCCAGCACAACGGGAUGAGGCCAGGACAGCUUGCCCUGCCAGCAUCAGGGAGGCGAGUACAGUGAGUGCUGGCCAGGCAGCCUAUCAGGCAGCCAUCCGAGGUGUGGGCAGUGCCCAGAGCCGCUGCCUCAGGCAGGGCCCUUGGGGCCCAGGUGAAGCCCCUACACCCCAGACAGCACUCAUUCCGGAGGAGGAAUACCUGGCUGGAGACUGGCUGGAAUUGGACACACCCCUGCCCCGCAGCCGCCCAUUCCGCCUGCCCCGCCCCCAGGGCAGUGGGGACAGCAACAGGCCCAGUACUGUAGGGCCAGACGAUGAGGAACACCCUGCCAGGCCCCGAACCCGGACCAGGCAGAGCCGCCUGACCUGUCUUGAGAGUUGCAGCACACUGGACAGAGCUGGAGGCAGCAGCUUGGCUGCAGAGCUCUCAGAGAAUCCCAAUGUGCUCAGGGUCCCUGGGGAAAGCCCUGCAACAGGCCAGCCCUCGGUGGGUGACAAGCUGGUAGCAGAGCUAACCCCCAGCUUGGGCAGGUGGAGAUGGAGGCCUCUGUCUUUCCUGACUGCCCUGUCCCCUGUUCCUCCUAUCAGGGUCUAGUACAGCCUCCUCCCAUCCGGAUUCGAGUUCAAGUUCAGGAUAACCUUUUCCUUGUCCCUGUCCCACACAGGUAUGGUGACAUCUACCCUCUCUGAACCCCAGUCCCCCC